rnacentral:rRNA from 1 species
UAAGGAAUAUUGGGCAAUGGGCGCGAGCCUGAACCAGCCAUCCCGCGUGCAGGAUGACGACCCUAUAGGUUGUAAACUGCUUUUCUACGCCAAGAAACGACCCUACGUGUAGGGCACUGACGGUAGCGUAGGAAUAAGCAUCGGCUAACUCCGUG